GACGAACGCUGGCGGCGUGCUUAACACAUGCAAGUCGAACGGAAAGGCCCUGCUUUUGUGGGGUGCUCGAGUGGCGAACGGGUGAGUAACACGUGAGUAACCUGCCCUUGACUGUGGGAUAACUUCAGGAAACUGGGGCUAAUACCGGAUAGGAGCUCCUGCUGCAUGGUGGGGGUUGGAAAGUUUCGGCGGUUGGGGAUGGACUCGCGGCUUAUCAGCUUGUUGGUGGGGUAGUGGCUUACCAAGGCUAUGAAGGGUAGCCGGCGUGGGAGGGUGACCGGCCACAUUGCGACUGCGAUACGGCCCAGACUCCUACGGGCGGCAGCAGUGGGGAAUAUUGCACAAUGGGCGGAAGCCUGAUGCAGCAACGCCGCGUGCGGGAUGCCGGCCUUCGGGUUGUAAACCGCUUUCGCCUGUGACGAAGCGUGAGUGACGGUAAUGGGUAAAGAAGCACCGGCUAACUACGUG
rnacentral:rRNA from 1 species